CCUACGGGUGGCAGCAGUGAGGAAUAUUGGUCAAUGGCCGGAAGGCUGAACCAGCCAUGCCGCGUGAAGGUCAGUGCCCUAUGGGCGUUAAACUUCUGUUGUGCGGGAGCAAUAAUGGUCACGUGUAGCCAGACGAGAGUACCGUACGAAUAAGCAUCGGCUAACUCCGUGAGAGCAGCCGCGGUAAUACGGGGGAUGCAAGCGUUAUCCGGAUUUAUAGGGUUUAAGGGGUGCGUAGGCUGUGAGGUAAGUCAGCGGUGAAAUUCCCCCGCUCAACGGGGUGGAGUGCCAUUGAUACUGCCUAGCUGGAAUGCGGAUGCCGUGGGAGGAAUGUGUGGUGUAGCGGUGAAAUGCAUAGAUAUCACACAGAACACCGAUUGCGAAGGCAUCUCACGGAUCCGCGAUUGACGCUGAUGCACGAAAGCGUGGGUAUCAAACAGGAUUAGAUACCCGGGUAGUC
rnacentral:rRNA from 1 species